ACUCUCCCUUCUCCAUUACUUACUUUCACUAAAAAUUUCUAUUUCAUUUCCUCCUGUUAUCUUCCAUGGAGCCAUAGGUUAGGAUUCUCCAAAUGUCCAUCUAGCUCAAUUUUAUUCUCUCAAAUCCUCCUCUUUUGAAAAAAAAAAAAAAUGAGAGCCACCAAAUUCGCAACAAAUUCUUCAUCUCCAAUUGUUUCUCUCUCUCACAGCAACCCCAUGAUGAUAAAAGCUCAGUCACCUUUAUUUCUCAUAAUCACCACAAAAUGGAAAGGUGAAAUGAGGGAUUUCGACUGUCUGAGUUCUAAGUUGGCAUUAACAAUGUUUCUACCUCCUCUAAAGCUUUAAACAAAGUCCUUUACUUCCCUCAAAUAGCAAUUAACCACCCUUAAGAUACCAUUCUUGCCAAAAUCGAAAAGGGCAUAGAUUCAAAGAUUUAAAAGUCCAGACUUACUAUGAUUGAUUCUCAGAACUCCAACAACCAACCCGUGAGUGAUAGCCACUAACUUUUGCCACCUCCAAUUGCGUAAUCCAUCUCCAGCAAGUGGGAGCCAUGUUCAGGUAGCAAUUUACCAUCUUGUGUGAGUGGGCUUUGGUACCUGUAGCUUCUUCCUUCCUUGCAUUUUAUUUCUAUUCUUUUAGCAUUUUGAACUUCAAUUGCUAUGGAUAAGUGAAUUGCAACUGUGGUUUUUUAUUUUUGGAUUGCUGCUGUGAAAUGUUAUAGAUACUAGGGAAAAGGAAAUUUUAUCAAUUAACCAUAUUUCAACCUAUACAUUGGUUCAGUCAAAUUCAUAUCAUCUUGAUUAAAUGAUUGCAAACUUGGUAGCUGCAUGUGUCCCCUGUUUUGUAAAUCUAAAGUAUUUAGCAUUCUGGAGUUGUCAAGUCCUAUAUGUUCCUUGUUUAACUUACACAACUAUUUAAGGUAUUCCAGUCAGAGUAUUACAUUAAUUAGUUCUAUUUUAGGGGCUGGUAUUUUCUUGUGAACUUUAAUCAUUUGUCAUACUAAACUAUAAUCGUAGUCUUUAUUCAGUGAUGGGUUUAUUAUCUAAUCAUUCAUUUUGAUAAUUUGCUUGAUUAUGGUAUGAAGUCAAUUUUUUUGGGUUCAAAUUGUAUUAUGUAGAAAUCUAAAUUUCUUUUUAUCAAAUGACACUAGAAAAUUUUUAAAUCUUUUCAUCACUUCAAGCAUAGGCAGAACUAGCGUAUGAUUACAUUUAAACAAUGAGAAUUAGUUAGUGCCCCCAAAUGGAAGAUCUUGCAUUACUCCGCCUUUAAUUAAGCCAAGUUCCACGAAAGAAUUGAGGAACCAGCUACUGUUCCCUCAUUUUCUUCGACAAUUUUGGCACCAUUGAGAGUCUCUAGCCACCUCACACCUCCUUUAUCCAUUGCAUUGAUAUUUCUUAACCUUUGAUUAUGCUGAGAUUCUAAGAAAACAUGUAAUGGGAAAUAAAUCUGCGAAUUUCUGUGAGUUUCCAUUUGCCCAGCCCAGCGCCAUGUCAACUUGUUUCUUUUGUAGCUGCUGCCUGCCAUGGUGAUCACCAGCACAUCAACUACUUGAAAUGGUCCCUAGCAGUGCUGCUCCUCAUCUAAGAGGUAAGGCUCCCAUGUCAAUAGUGAGAUGAGUAUGUGUCUAACUCCAAACAUUACUUGCAUUCUAAAAAAAAUUGUUUCUUUCAGCAGAGAAAGUUAAAUUUCUGUUUUGAAUUUAAUUUAGAUGAGUUGUUCCCUACAAUAAUUACCCUUGAUGAUUAACUUUGCAAAUGUUGGUUAUAUACUUCUCAAAUACUUAUUAGUAGAUUUUAUGGAUUCAAUUCUUAAAAGUAGCUUAUAAUUAAAUAUGGUUAAAGUGAAUUUAUGAAAGUGGUAAUUUUAUGCAUGUGAACUGUAUGGAGCAGCUCCAAAUCCCUAAUUCUUCAUGUUCUGAUGCUUAAGUUUCAAUGUGUUGAUGAGAAGAGGAUUUGAAUGUUGGUUUGCAAUUGUUUUCUCUAAAUUCAGUAUAAAACUGAUACAUGUAAACUAUCUUUGACACUCUAUUCGAUUUCUUGACUCUCGCAACUUUUAUUCUCUUAUUCACUUUAUUUCAUGAUAAUCAAAUUCAUCUAAGUUAUGAUUUGGGCUUUUACUGAAAUGUAAUGAAUAUUGUUAUUUUAAUUGAGCUUUGGCUAUUAUGGGUUCA
rnacentral:misc_RNA from 1 species